UUAUUUAUUAGGGAAUUAGGGUUCAAAAGGGCUACUUCUAUAUUGAUUUUGUAUUACUUUUGCUCUUAAUUGUAUCAAUGGUUCUUUUGAAUUGAACUUGCUUGAUAGCUCUUGUGGCCGAACGAACGAACAAUGAACGAGGUACGUAGUUGCCAGGGUACCUUCGUUGCGUGGCCCGCUUACAGAUUGAGUUAUGUUACUUUAAUAAUGAGUUA
rnacentral:lncRNA from 1 species